AGCGAACGCUGGCGGCAAGCUUAACACAUGCAAGUCGAACGAUGUAGCAAUACAUAGUGGCGGACGGGUGCGUAACACGUGGGAAUCUGCCUUUAGGUGGGGGAUAACUCAGGGAAACUUGAGCUAAUACCGCAUGAUAUCUUCGGAUCAAAGAUUUAUCGCCUAAAGAUGAGCCCGCGGCAGAUUAGCUAGUUGGUGGGGUAAUGGCCUACCAAGGCAACGAUCUGUAGCUGGUCUGAGAGGAUGACCAGCCACACUGGGACUGAGACACGGCCCAGACUCCUACGGGAGGCAGCAGUGGGGAAUAUUGGGCAAUGGGCGCAAGCCUGACCCAGCUAUGCCGCGUGAAUGAUGAAGGCCUUAGGGUUGUAAAGUUCUUUUACCAGGGACGAUAAUGACGGUACCUGGAGAAAAAGCUCCGGCUAACUCCGUGCCAGCCGCCGCUGUAA
rnacentral:rRNA from 1 species